AGCGAACGCUGGCGGCGUGCUUAACACAUGCAAGUCGAACGUGAACGGGGGCAGCCCCUAGUAAAGUGGCGUACGGGUGAGAAAUGCAUAGGUAAUCUACCUCAAAGCUCGGAAUAACCUGCCGAAAGGCGGGCUAAUACUGAAUAGAGCGAUGGAUUUCGUAAAGAUAUCUUCGGGAAAGGGAGCUCGCAAGAGCCCUCACUUCGAGAUGAGCCUAUGUCCCAUUAGCUAGUUGGUAGGGUAAUGGCCUACCAAGGCUGUGAUGGGUAGCUGGUCUGAGAGGACGAUCAGCCACACUGGAACUGAAACACGGUCCAGACUCCUACGGGAGGCAGCAGUGGGGAAUUUUGGGCAAUGGGCGAAAGCCUGACCCAGCCACGCCGCGUGAGUGAAGAAGGCCUUCGGGUUGUAAAGCUCUGUCGGGAGGGACGAAAACACUUUAGGUUAACAGCCUAGAGUCUUGACGGUACCUCCUAAGGAAGCACCGGCUAACUCCGUGCCAGCAGCCGCGGUAA
rnacentral:rRNA from 1 species